AUGCGCAGCGCUGCUGGCCCGCUCUCUGAGGAGCUUUCAAUACUUUGGGGUCAAGUUUGAGGCAGUUGUAACUGUACUGAGUUUAGUUUUGCUAAUAAUGGUAUUCUACGUGUGUCAGCCUCGUGUGGACUUCUGUAAUGACUAAUGGAUAUGUUUAUAUCCUGAGCAUUUGCUGUAGGAAUUUUAAAUGCAAUCCCAAAACUCAAGAUUACCUUAUUUGGAGAAAUAUUCGUGUUACUAUGUUUAAAAUUUAAUAGAACCAUAUUUUACCUUUCACUUUGGGACUCGCACAGGAUGUUUGCAGCUCUUGAUAUACAGGAACUAGAACGUGUCUUUUAAGAGCAUGCGGUUUUAUAAUUACGUGGAAGUAUGCUACGCAAGGGAAAAAAGCCUCUUGCUAGUGUUAAGGGUCUUCAUAAACAGAAACCGCAAGGAACCUGGGAUCUGACAGCUGUUGGAGGAAUGCCUGUGAGGAAGGAGGAGGAACAGAAGAAUGCUUUGAUGUCUUAAAUGGUACAUCCAAACUUAAGUGAAAUAGAGCUGUGAGGACAUUUUGGGGAGAAGUGACCUAGAUAAGCACUGACUGUUGCAUUCAUCUCUCUUCUUGCUGAUUGUGAUGAUUUCCUGUGCCAUAGCCAUUCAAAGUCUGCCAAAAAAGGCCUUGCCUCCUGGAUGGCAUUUUUGAACCCACCCUGGGCCAGAGGGGAGCCCACUUCUUUGAAGACAGAAACACAGGACUGGCAACAUUUACCAUAAGCUGACUGAGCAGCCAUUGGGCCUUGAGUGAACAUUGGUGGUAGCCAGGCAGUACUUGUCUCAGUACUUGCCUCAGGCCUGGGGUGUCGGUGACCACAGGGAGAGCAUCCAUCUGCUUGAGGAAAGGAGAACAAAGAAAAUAAAGGGCUUAAUCUUGCACUUGAUUGCCAGCUCAGCCAUAGUAGAAUACAGCACCAAGUAAAUUCCUAAGGAUCCUGAUUCCAGGUCCUGGCUCCCAGAUGACAUUUUAGGACUUGUCUUGGGCUUAGGGGGAGCUCGUCAUACUGAAGGGAAAAACACAAGCCUGGCUGGAUUUGCCACCAGCUGAAUAAAGAGUGCUUGGGCCUUGAGUGAACAUUGGCAAUAGCCAAGGAGUGGUCACCAUGGACCUUAGGCAAGAAACCCGGUGCCGUGCUGGCUUUGGAUCUGACCCAGCAUAAUCUCACUGGUAUUUUACUUCUUGUCCAUUUACUUUUUAGUUUAUCAUACACACCAUGUUUACUAGUACUAAAACUGUCUUAAAAUAUUGCAAUUUUGACCCUUUUUCUAAUUGACCUUUAUGUUUUUACAAGCACAUUUUAUUACAUAUGAAUGAGACUUUACUAUGUUAUAUGUAACUCUUAAUUCUGUAAAUAAUAGAUUGCUUAUCUGAAAUAUAGCUGAUAUUUGUUUCUUAAUUAUUUGGCUAUUCCCUAUAUGUUAUACUCUACUAAAGAUCAUGGGAUUUAGAUUCAGAAAACUUACUUCCUAGCUCUUAUUAUUUCUGUGAUCUUGCAAAAGAAAACAAAAAUGAACCAUUGUUUUUUUAUCUGUAACAGGAAAUGUACUUCACAGGAUUGUAAUGAGAAUUAAAUUAGAUAAUAUACAUGAA
rnacentral:lncRNA from 10 species